UUUGNUCAUGGCUCAGGAUGAACGCUGGCGGCGUGCUUAAUACAUGCAAGUCGAACGGAGACAGUAGCAAUAUUGUCUUAGUGGCGAACGGGUGAGUAACGCGUUGGUGACCUGCCUCGAAGAGAGGGAUAACAGUUCGAAAGGAUUGCUAAUACCUCAUGUGGUUGCUUGGGUUAGAGACCUUGCAACUAAACGGAUUUAUUCGCUUCGAGAGGGGCCUGCGUCCCAUCAGCUAGUUGGUAGGGUAAUGGCCUACCAAGGCGAUGACGGGUAGGGGACCUGAGAGGGUGGCCCCCCACAAUGGAACUGAAACACGGUCCAUACACCUACGGGUGGCAGCAGUAGGGAAUAUUGGUUAAUCUGGGAAACCGGGAACCAGCAACGCCGCGUGCGCGAUGAAGGCCUUCGGGUUGUAAAGCGCUUUUAGAGAGGAUGAGGAAGGACAGUACUCUCUGAAUAAGCCUCGGCUAACUACGUGCCAGCA
rnacentral:rRNA from 1 species